CUACAAGAUGUGGGGAAAGUGUCCUCUCUCUCCAGUUACAUCUGUCCUCUCUUCCCUCCCCUCACAUGUCAGUUCCCAGCAUAGACUAUGUAGAAGAGUGAGUCUGACUAGCUCUCCUACUUGAGAUAAAAUAAAGAGAUGCUGUGUGGUAGGAUCUGUCUCUGAGUCCACAUUGCAGAAAAAACCAUCCUUCAGAAAGAAGCAGAGGAAGCCUGGCAUCUCAAGCGAUCGAGAUGGGAGAUGGAGGGGAUCCUGGGGUCUCUACCCUCUCCCUCACUGGGAAAUGAGCUCUGCUUCUUCAUGUGCCAAGCCCUGCCUCUGUGGGUGCAGCCUGAGGACAAAGGCAGUGCUGCAUCCCCGCCCCCUACAACCUUCGGCCCAGCCUCUCGGGUUCCCCUCAGCUUGUCAUCAGGGUGGAAGCAGCCAUCUCCUCUGAUGACUGACUUCAAGCUUCAACUCUCCCAUAGUUCCUCAAGCCAAGUCUGAGGCCAAGUCCCAGCUGCUGCCUUGGGACAGGUCAAGGGCCUCCUGCAGUCUUACGCACAAGCUGGAACCCAUGAGCCUAAGACACUUAUUGACCCACCCUCCAAGUCCUUGCCAGAGGAAUCUCUGCACACCUAUAUCCACAAUAAAGGGAGCCAUCUCCCCAGCUGGGAAGCCAUAUCCCUCAUGAUGUCACAUAUGGAAGGUGACCAGUCCUUUCUACCACUCUUAUUUAAAUGAAAAUAUAUUUAGUUAAUUA